rnacentral:tRNA from 1 species
UCUCUGGUGGCUCAGUGGUAAAGAGUCUGCCUUCUAAGGCAGGAGACACAGGUUCGAUCCCUGGUCUGGGAA